rnacentral:rRNA from 1 species
CGGAUGAGGGGUGCUUGCACUCUGAUUCAGCGGCGGACGGGUGAGUAAUGCCUAGGAAUCUGCCCGAUAGUGGGGGACAACGUUUCGAAAGGAACGCUAAUACCGCAUACGUCCUACGGGAGAAAGUGGGGGCUCUUCGGACCUCACGCUAUCGGAUGAGCCUAGGUCGGAUUAGCUAGUUGGUGGGGUAAAGGCUCACCAAGGCGACGAUCCGUAACUGGUCUGAGAGGAUGAUCAGUCACACUGGAACUGAGACACGGUCCAGACUCCUACGGGAGGCAGCAGUGGGGAAUAUUGGACAAUGGGCGAAAGCCUGAUCCAGCCAUGCCGCGUGUGUGAAGAAGGUCUUCGGAUUGUAAAGCACUUUAAGUCGGGAGGAAGGGCUGUAAGCGAAUACCUUGCAGCUUUGACGUUACCGACAGAAUAAGCACCGGCUAACUUCGUGCCAGCAGCCGCGGUAAUACGAAGGGUGCAAGCGUUAAUCGGAAUUACUGGGCGUAAAGCGCGCGUAGGUGGUUUGGUAAGUUGGAUGUGAAAGCCCCGGGCUCAACCUGGGAACUGCAUCCAAAACUGCCUGACUAGAGUACGGUAGAGGGUGGUG